rnacentral:lncRNA from 1 species
UUACCAUUUAAUGUUUGUAGGGUGAAGGACCAACUCCGUAUAUUUCAUGAGAGGGUUCUAGGGGAAACUAGUUAUUUCAACAUAAUAGGUGUCUCUGCUUCAGAAAACAAAGACCAAAUUUCUUUUCAGGUUUUUGGCUGAGAUGAAGUGCAGAAAGCAAUAAUUGCUAGCAUUUAUAGUGUUCUUUCUCUGUGUCAGACACUGCUCUAUGUGAUUUGUAUGUACUAACCUAUUUAAUACACACAUCUAGCACAGGCGAUACUAUUACUGUCUCCAUCACAGCUAAGAAACCAAGGCACGGAGAGGUUCAAUAUCUUGUCCAAAGUCAUACCACUAAUAUUUUAAGCAGCCAGGGGUCAAACCGGGGCAGGCUGGCUCCGGAGUCCACAUGGUUUUCUCUGGUCUUUCUGAGUUGAGUCACCUGACUUUGCAGUUAGGGUGAUUCUGCCUGCCUUGUCAUCAGGUGCCAUUUGGCCAGUGGGCUGGGUCCUGCCUCAUCUCCCUGCAGGCUGCCUGGUCCCCCGGGCUUUUCCUCUUCUCCCCUGCCUUUAUCCUUGCAGGAACAAAUGAAUACACCUCAGGGUUCUGGCUUUGACCACCCCUGGUCCCCUCCACUGUCUUCACCCACUCCCCUUCUCAUUCUAACAGACUUACACAUUCACUAUGCCUGAGGCCAAGGACAUCCUUAGUAGGAUCUGUGGUCCCAGUGGUCCACCCACACGCUGGGGACCUGCACAUCCCCAGGGGCUAGGAAGGUGCGGGGAGGUGGAAGUAGGAGGCGGUACGGCCGGAAGUCGGCCGCCAAAGUUCCCCUUGCCGGGCUGUGUUGGCUGCUGCCCUCUAGUGGCGACCAGAGGAGCUGGCGAGGACCGAAGCCAGGUUCAUCGCUUAUGGAAAGCAGUUUUGAGAGACAGUGGGGACCCCACUACCCGACUCAUGAAGGCCAGCUCCAGGGGGUCCUCCCAUGACAGGAAUUCCUGAUGAGAAGAAAAGGUGCAGCUCUCUCUGACAAGCUGGCUCCUCUCCUCAGAAAAAAGAAAGAAACAAAGAGAAGAGGAUGACAUUGAAUGUAUCAGAGAACUAAGAAACUUCUGCCAGCCUGAGCAACUUCUCCAGCCAGGGCGACAGAGCAAGACCAUGUCUCAAAAAAACAAACAAAUGAAAAAAGAAAUUUCUGGAUGAGGAGGAUGCUAGCUCUACAUUCCACUUCACAACCAGGCCCUACAUCAGCCUAUAUUUGAAUACCAUGGCAAUUCACUACCCCACGAUCUGUGAGGAAAUUUUUCCUUACACUAAACAGAUUGGUCCAGUUUCCACACUUGGGACUGCCAGAAAAAGCCUAUAUAUCUAAUAUAAUUUAUUAUAAAUAGA